rnacentral:rRNA from 1 species
UACGUAGGGUGCGAGCGUUAAUCGGAAUUACUGGGCGUAAAGCGUGCGCAGGUGGUUGUGUAAGCUUGAUGUGAAAUCCCCGGGCUUAACCUGGGAAUGGCAUUGAGGACUGCACGGCUAGAGUGUGGCAGAGGGGGGUGGAAUUCCGCGUGUAGCAGUGAAAUGCGUAGAGAUGCGGAGGAACACCGAUGGCGAAGGCAGCCCCCUGGGCCAACACUGACGCUCAGGCACGAAAGCGUGGGGAGCAAACAGG